UAGCUCAGUUGGUAGAACAUGGUGUUUGCAACGCCAGGGUUGUGGGUUCGAUUCCCAC
rfam:Salmo salar isolate Sally breed double haploid chromosome ssa14, whole genome shotgun sequence.